CCCUUAGAUGUUCUGGGCUGCACAUGUGCUACACUGGCAGGUUCAGCGAGCUUCAUGCCCUGAUCUGAAAGGAAUGGGAAAUCUUUUCAAAACCUGCCGUGCUUGGGAUAGAUGUUUGCAAUUAUUCAUCUUCAGCGAGGAUUGCCUUGUAAGCGCACGUCAUCAGCGUGCAUUGAAUACGACCCUGUAUUCUGUACACACCGCCCGUCGCUCCUACCGAUUGAAGUUUUCGGUGAGUUGACAGGAGGAUUUUUUUGAAACUGGUUCGCCAGUGGAUUUUAGAUCCAAAUGCCAACGAAUCGAUGGCUUUAGAGGAAGGAGAAGUCGUAACA
rnacentral:rRNA from 1 species